UCUUUAUAAUUAAUAAUUAAAAUAACAAUAUAAUAUCUAAAACGUGCGUGGUUAUUAUGCUUAAAUACUCCAUAAUAUUGUUGUUUAAAUUUUAAAUAAUAAAAUGAAUAGUUUAUUGGUUAAGUUUUUAAUUUUUAUAUUACAUCUAUACCUUUUAGAAAAUGCAAUUACAGAGGAUGUUAUAGAACUUGGUCAAUCAUCAUGUAGAUACUCAGGUAAUCAUGAUGACAUUGAUGCAAGGUGUUAUGUUGAUAAAUUUGAGUUAAGCAAAUUACCAGCGAAUGAAUGCACGUCUUAUAUCUAUUUUGGAAUGACAUGUAAAGACGAUUCGACAAUCGUACCUAAUGAUUCUCCAGAUGAUUAAACGAAUAUUAAAUCACUUACUGAUUUUAGCCCCAAGGUUUUUAUAUUUUAUGGACGACAAACUUUAGAUUUUUGGACAUCUGAAAAAUUUAAUGAUAGUAUUGAAACUGAAGUUAAAAACUUGAAAGUAUUUCUUGACGACUAUCCAGUAGCGGGGUUAAUUUUGACUGGAAUAGAAACUCCCGUUGAUAAUAACAAUUUCUAUGUAAAAUUUGAAUCAUACGUCGCAAGUUUAAAGUCUACAAAUCCAAAAUUAAAAAUUGGUUUAUAUAUUAAAGCUUCAACAAUGUUAUCAUAUCCAAAUUGUACAGGAUGGUUUGAUUUUUCAAAGUUAAAUAACAUUACGGAUUUCUAUCUAAUUACAUUUCAUGACUAUAAUGAUUGUUAUGACGAAUUAUUACAUGGUGGAACUACUCCUAUGGAGUCAUCUAGUUCAAAUUUUAACACCUUAGUACGAUUUGCUGCUGCUUUAAACGUCUCAAAAAUGGCAACGAAAAAAGUGUAUUUAGAAUAUGUAUGAACUCCUACGAUGUAUUCUAGUUAUGCAGGUGUAAACCAUUGUGAACUAACGUAUGAACAGUAUUGUACAAACAAUAUCACAGACGAUUGGUGUGCCGACAACGCAACAACUUUCUAUGAAAAAGGUGUAUUUGCAAAACAAUAUACUGCAGGAUGGGUAGGUAGCGAUAUAGAUUUAAUUGAUCGUGGCUUAAGUUGUGGAUGUAAUGGUGAUCAGUUCUUUUCGUUUCAUAUGAUAUUAGAUGGCUACAAAAAUAAGACAAUGAGGACUUGCGAUUUUAAGUUUGGUUAAAUAUUUGCAUUAAUCAAGAUUGUCUAAUGUUGUAAUUAUAUUUACGAUUAAAUAAUAAAUUUGUUUGUUAAAAGUA